rnacentral:rRNA from 1 species
CACCAGCGCCACAAGUGGGAACCACGUUUAUUUGGUUUAAAGCGUUCGUAGCCGGUUUGAUAAAUUCUUUGUGAAAUCGUUACCCUUAAUGUAACGACGUGCAGAGGAGACUGUCAAACUUGGAACUGGGAGGGGUUAGGAGUAUGCCUUGGGGAGCGGUAAAAUGUUAUAAUCCAAGGUAGACUACCUUUGGCGAAGGCGCCUAACUAGAACAGAUUCGACGGUGAGGAACGAAAGCUAGGGGAGCGAUCUG